rnacentral:rRNA from 1 species
GAUCCUGGCUCAGGAUGAACGCUAGUUACAGGCUUAAUACAUGCAAGUCGAGGGGCAGCAUGGUCUUAGCUUGCUAAGGCUGAUGGCGACCGGCGCACGGGUGAGUAACACGUAUCCAACCUGCCGUCUACUCUUGGCCAGCCUUCUGAAAGGAAGAUUAAUCCAGGAUGGGAUCAUGAGUUCACAUGUCCGCAUGAUUAAAGGUAUUUUCCGGUAGACGAUGGGGAUGCG